GAUGAACGCUGGCGGCGUGCCUAAUACAUGCAAGUCGAGCGAACAGACGAGGAGCUUGCUCCUCUGACGUUAGCGGCGGACGGGUGAGUAACACGUGGAUAACCUACCUAUAAGACUGGGAUAACUUCGGGAAACCGGAGCUAAUACCGGAUAAUAUAUUGAACCGCAUGGUUCAAUAGUGAAAGACGGUUUUGCUGUCACUUAUAGAUGGAUCCGCGCCGCAUUAGCUAGUUGGUAAGGUAACGGCUUACCAAGGCAACGAUGCGUAGCCGACCUGAGAGGGUGAUCGGCCACACUGGAACUGAGAAACGGUCCAGACUCCUACGGGAGGCAGCAGUAGGGAAUCGUCCGCAAUGGGCGAAAGCUUGACGGAGCAACGCCGCGUGAGUGAUGAAGGUCUUCGGAUCGUAAAACUCUGUUAUUAGGGAAAAACAAAUGUGUAAGUAACUAUGCACGUCUUGACGGUACCUAAUCAGAAAGCCACGGCUAACUACGUG
rnacentral:rRNA from 1 species